rnacentral:rRNA from 1 species
AGCCCCGUACACAAAAGCGCAUGUGCUGUGAGCUCGAUGAGUAGGGCGGGACACGUGGUAUCCUGUCUGAAUAUGGGGGGACCAUCCUCCAAGGCUAAAUACUCCUGACUGACCGAUAGUGAACCAGUACCGUGAGGGAAAGGCGAAAAGAACCCCGGCGAGGGGAGUGAAAAAGAACCUGAAACCGUGUACGUACAAGCAGUGGGAGCACCCUUUGGGGUGUGACUGCGUACCUUUUGUAUAAUGGGUCAGCGACUUAUAUUCUGUAGCAAGGUUAACCGAAUAGGGGAGCCGGAGGGAAACCGAGUCUUAAUUGGGCGUUAAGUUGCAGGGUAUAGACCCGAAACCCGGUGAUCUAGCCAUGGGCAGGUUGAAGGUUGGGUAACACUAACUGGAGGACCGAACCGACUAAUGUUGAAAAAUUAGCGGAUGACCUGUGGCUGGGGGUGAAAGGCCAAUCAAACCGGGAGAUAGCUGGUUCUCCCCGAAAGCUAUUUAGGUAGCGCCUCGUGAA